UUUGCUGGACAGAAUCCCUUGGUGGGAACUUAGCUGUUGACUUCUUUCUUUCAUGAGCAUUCUGGGUAUGUGCACUUUGAAGGUUUCGUGUUUUAUUUGCUGAGCUGCUCUUCUGAUUAAGAUGCUUAUAAACUGUCCUAACACGUAAAUUGUCAGGGGUCCUCAUGUAGGCGGGGUAAAUCAAUUUCGCCUGAAAUGACAGUCCCUGCCGAGCAGGUUGUGGGUCUGCCGUGAGCAGAGUCUGACGUCUACACAGCACACAGCCCAGAUUUGUGAGCCUCAGCUGUCAGAAAGAUUAUGGAACACGAAGAUAAUGCUGUCACUGAAUUGCAGUCUUUUAUUUUUGUACAGAAAUAAUUUACACAUAGGUAUUAAGGUUGAGAACCCUCGCAUUUUGGUGCCUGGCAGAAGAACCACAGGAUCCCUAUUCAUUUUAAGGAUAUUUAUUGAGAAGCUACCAUGCUGGGACCAGCGUAGGCUGAACACGGUAAUGCUAUGUACAAGUCUUUGUUCCAGGUGCCAGAUUUUUCCAGAAUGUGUAGAAUGAUACUAACUCUUAUCUCCCAAGCUUCCAGGGUCCGUGUGCUCACUGCGCAUACCUGCUAAUGAUGGGUGAUCCUCACAUCCAGUGCUCCGGGCACUUGGGCCUGACAAGUGAACAUGGGCCUGACAAGUGUGAGACCUGGAUGGGUGAUGCUACCAUUGUAAGAAGGAAGGGGCCCUGAGUUUCUUCUUUCAAAAGCAUAGAAUCUCUCCACCUUCUGACAAAUGAGGAAAUAGUUAGAAACAGAUUACUUGUCUGCAGAAACAGGAUGAAAGAAUAAGACUUGCUUUCAGAUUUUCAUCUCAUAUUUAUAAAAUGCCUGUUCAGUAACUUGCAACCAUCUGGCAGAGUACCUUGCUGUUUCCUUGCAGACAUGUGGCAGUUGUUGUAUUUGUGUGUGUGUGUGUUUAGGAUAAUGUCACUCUUAUUUUCCUACUGGAAGGGCAAGAGGAAGAAACCGAGAGUGGCCAUAUGGAAAGUUUUAAAAAUGGCAAGUUACCAAGAAGACCAGAAGCAAGGAUGAGCAGCUACAGCCCAGAGUGGAUCCCAUGCCUCUCUCUGCAGCCCCCUAGCUGGUAUGAAGGAAAAUCACCACCACAACCCAGGUCUUCUGCUGUGGACUGCUGGAUUUUCCCAGCAGUUAAACUGCAUUACCCCUUUGAGAAAAGAACCAAUGGCAUCAAUAUAAUUUGUUCUUAACAUUCUGGCUUCUCUAUCACUAGCCAAGCCUAGUGAUGUAUCUUCUGUAUCACCUAACCAAGCCGGGGAGCAUAGAAAGAAAAACAGAUCUUGCCCUUAAGAAGUUUAUUUUUAAAACAAUCUGAAAAGGGGGGGGGGGGGGACCCCA